rnacentral:rRNA from 1 species
CCUAUGGGCGGCUGCAGUGGGGAAUAUUGGACAAUGGGGGCAACCCUGAUCCAGCCAUGCCGCGUGUGUGAAGAAGGCCCUCGGGUUGUAAGGCACUUUCAGUGAGGAAGAACGCCUGGUGGUUAAUACCCAUCAGGAAAGACAUCACUCACAGAAGAAGCACCGGCUAACUCCGUGCCAGCAGCCGCGGUAAUACGGAGGGUGCGAGCGUUAAUCGGAAUUACUGGGCGUAAAGCGCGCGUAGGUGGCUUGAUAAGCCGGUUGUGAAAGCCCCGGGCUCAACCUGGGAACGGCAUCCGGAACUGUCAAGCUAGAGUGCAGGAGAGGAAGGUAGAAUUCCCGGUGUAGCGGUGAAAUGCGUAGAGAUCGGGAGGAAUACCAGUGGCGAAGGCGGCCUUCUGGACUGACACUGACACUGAGGUGCGAAAGCGUGGGUAGCAAACAGGAUUAGAUACCCUAGUAGUC